CUAAACAAUAAUGCUGGUAGGAAAAAUAAAACAUUUCAGUGUAGCGUAGCAGCAAUAUUAUUUUGUACAAUUUCCGAGGCAGUGCUGACAUAAGCAACUAUCUCUGCUUCUUAGAAGUUUAUACUGUCUUAAAAACCAGUAACUUGUAUCUAUAGAAGUUGAAACUGGCAAUCAGAAGCAAAACACCACAUUCUAUGUAAUUACAGGAGCAAAACAAAACACGUAAAAAUGGAUCAUUGCUGAAUAUAACGCAUUAUAUGUUAAAGAAACACUACGUGCUCUAUAACUAAUACAGCUUGCUGUAGUAAUCACGGUGGCAGGAGUGCCAUGGUACCUCCCCAGAGUUAGUAGUCCAAUUAUUUGCUAAUGGUUUGAUAAUUUACUUAGGGGGGCUGGUCUCAGCCUUCUGUAGUACUGGAAGCUCCACUGAGCUAAUCCCUGCAAUGCAGGUCUGGCUGAUUGGCUGAAAUCAUAAUCUGAGUCUAACCCUGCACUUGGAGAUGGUUCAGUGCAGAGAACUUCUAGCUCCACAAGUGGAGGUGCCCAGUGGAAAGUUCCUAACUAUUUACAAACUGUUUAACUACUUAAUCUGGGAGGGUAACAGGACUCUUGAAUAACCAUAACCACUAAGCAGCCUGUUGUGGAUAUGGUGCUCUGAGUUAUUUUUAAGUACAAAUUCUCAAUAACUGGGCAAAAUGUCACAGAAAUUAUUUUGCUGUUUCACUUGCCAAAUUAGGAUGUAAACUUAAAUGUUUAUAUAAAUAAAAGUAUUGGGAAAAAAAAAAAAGGUAUUUCCAAAGAGAAAAGGGAGAAUAGUUAACACAAACACUGUACUUUAACAAGCGGUCAGGAAUCGUCAUCCAAGUGCCUGCACCACAUGUGGAGGAUUGCAUUAAUUAUAAGGAUAACAUGAUGAACCAGGAAUCAAGUGCUAGCAACUCCUAGUUAUAAUAGACCAUGCAUUGCCAUAAAUAAAAAAAUAAAAAAUAGUGGUCUGUUUCAAUUUAUAGUUUUUACUUGGACCUAAACUGCAGUUUCCAAAGCAGAAUAAAUGCAGCUACUUUCCAUUACAGCCUUGUGUUAGAAUAGUGUG